rnacentral:misc_RNA from 1 species
AAUUCUCAACCCUUUCAAAGUUUUUAUUGACUUUGAAGUUGGGCUUGGAUUUGGGGGUUGCGGGCUUUUCUAAAGUCGGCUCUCCUUAAAAGUAUUAGCGGAACCUUUUGUGAGCCGUCUACUAGUGUGAUAAUUAUCUACGCUAUUGAUGUUGCUUACAUUAAUAUGAGGUUCAGCUUCUAAUAGUCCAUUUACUUGGACAAUAUCUUUAUUGAUGACC